UACGGAAGGCAGCAGGUGGGGAAUAUUGCACAAUGGGCGAAAGCCUGAUGCAGCUAUGCCGCGUGUAUGAAGAAGGCCUUAGGGUUGUAAAGUACUUUCAUCGGGGAGGAAAAACAAAACUAAUAAUUUUAUUUCUUGACGUUACCCGAAAAAGAAGCACCGGCUAACUCCGUGCCAGCAGCCGCGGUAAUACGGAGGGUGCUAGCGUUAAUCAGAAUUACUGGGCGUAAAGAGCACGUAGGUGGUUUUUUUAAGUCAGAUGUGAAAUCCCUGGGCUUAACCUAGGAACUGCAUUUUGAAACUGAAAUACUAGAGUAUCGUAGAGGGAGGUAGAAUUCUAGGUGUAGCGGUGAAAUGCGUAGAUAUCUGGAGGAAUACCUGUGGCGAAAGCGGCCUCCUAAACGAAUACUGACACUGAGGUGCGAAAGCUGGGGAGCAAACAGGGAUUAGAUACC
rnacentral:rRNA from 1 species